GCAGUACGGCUGCUAUACUGCAGUCGUACGCUUCUAUUUUCCACCGGAGCUUGCUCCACCGGAAAAAGAGGAGUGGCGAACGGGUGAGUAACACGUGGGUAACCUGCCCAUCAGAAGGGGAUAACACUUGGAAACAGGUGCUAAUACCGUAUAACAAUCGAAACCGCAUGGUUUUGAUUUGAAAGGCGCUUUCGGGUGUCGCUGAUGGAUGGACCCGCGGUGCAUUAGCUAGUUGGUGAGGUAACGGCUCACCAAGGCCACGAUGCAUAGCCGACCUGAGAGGGUGAUCGGCCACAUUGGGACUGAGACACGGCCCAAACUCCUACGGGAGGCAGCAGUAGGGAAUCUUCGGCAAUGGACGAAAGUCUGACCGAGCAACGCCGCGUGAGUGAAGAAGGUUUUCGGAUCGUAAAACUCUGUUGUUAGAGAAGAACAAGGAUGAGAGUAACUGUUCAUCCCUUGACGGUAUCUAACCAGAAAGCCACGGCUAACUACGUGCCAGCAGCCGCGGUAAUACGUAGGUGGCAAGCGUUGUCCGGAUUUAUUGGGCGUAAAGCGAGCGCAAGCGGUUUCUUAAUUCUGAUGUGAAAGCCCCCGGCUCAGCCGGGGAGGGUCAUUGGAAACUGGGAGACUUGAGGGCCGAAAAACCCCAUGGAAUUCCAUU
rnacentral:rRNA from 1 species